rnacentral:tRNA from 1 species
CGGGUCGUGGAAGAUCGGCACGGACAGCAGCUGCCGGCGGUUGCCCGACUGGUACAUCAGGGUCACGACCGCGUUCGAGCCGUCGACGACCCGG